CUCUUUUAGCUUGGGAAAAUGGCUCUCGAAAGGGAGAAGGUUCCACGAGUCCCAGAAACUUUACUCAAGAAAAGGAAAAGUCUUGAGAAGGUUAAAGCUGCCCGUGAGGCUGCCAAGGUUGCACAGAAAAAGGUAGGU